rnacentral:rRNA from 1 species
UCUUGGUCAUUUAGAGGAAGUAAAAGUCGUAACAAGGUCUCCGUUGGUGAACCAGCGGAGGGAUCAUUAUCGAGUUAUUCAACUCCCAAACCCUAUGUGAACCUACCACUUGUUGCUUCGGCGCGCGCUUCGGCGCCGCCGAGGACACAUAAACUCUUUGUUUUUAUAAGCAUUUCUGAGUGGCCGAAAGGCAAAAAUACAAAUGAAUCAAAACUUUCAACAACGGAUCUCUUGGUUCUGGCAUCGAUGAAGAACGCAGCGAAAUGCGAUAAGUAAUGUGAAUUGCAGAAUUCAGUGAAUCAUCGAAUCUUUGAACGCACAUUGCGCCCGCCAGCAUUCUGGCGGGCAUGCCUGUUCGAGCGUCAUUUCAACCCUCGAGCCCGACUCUUUUGAGGACGGCUCGGCGUUGGGGGACGGCAGACUCCCCCCGGCAUCUCGCCGGGGACGCCGCCCCCGAAAUCUAGUGGCGGCCCUCCGAGGCGACCUCUGCGUAGUAACUUGUUCUCGCACCGGAAAGCUCAGAGCGGCCACGCCGUAAAACCCCAACUUUUUUCAGGUUGACCUCGAAUCAGGUA